GGCCGCACAUUGACCUUAGGUGAUUUGGGAUUAGUCAACCAUGGGUGACCUAUAGUAGGUCAUCCUAGACCGAGAUGAACUAGGCAUGGGUAGCAUGUGAUUUGUCAGGCGUUCAUCUCCCAUAGCUCGACUGACAUCAAGGAUGUUGAAGCCAAGGCCGAGGUACAAAUCUACAAUAGUAUGCAAUUAAAUCUGAACCAUAACACAAUCGACAAGACAUGAUGAAUGCUGAUGUCUACA
rnacentral:lncRNA from 1 species